AGGACGACAUUAGACGAAUCAUCUGGAAAGAUGAAUCAAAGAAGGUAAUAAUCCUGUAGUCGAAAAUGUUGUCUCUCUUGAGUGGAUCCUGAGUACGACGGAGCACGUGAAAUUCCGUCGGAAUCUGGGAGGACCAUCUCCUAAGGCUAAAUACUCUCUAGUGACCGAUAGUGAACCAGUACCGUGAGGGAAAGGUGAAAAGCACCCCGGAAGGGGAGUGAAAUAGAACCUGAAACCGUGUGCUUACAAGUAGUCAGAGCCCGUUAAUGGGUGAUGGCGUGCCUUUUGUAGAAUGAACCGGCGAGUUACGAUUUGAUGCAAGGUUAAGCAGUAAAUGUGGAGCCGUAGCGAAAGCGAGUCUGAAUAGGGCGUUUAGUAUUUGGUCGUAGACCCGAAACCAGGUGAUCUACCCUUGGUCAGGUUGAAGUUCAGGUAACACUGAAUGGAGGACCGAACCGACUUACGUUGAAAAGUGAGCGGAUGAACUGAGGGUAGCGGAGAAAUUCCAAUCGAACCUGGAGAUAGCUGGUUCUCUCCGAAAUAGCUUUAGGGCUAGCCUCAAGUGAUGAUUAUUGGAGGUAGAGCACUGUUUGGACGAGGGGCCCCUCUCGGGUUACCGAAUUCAGACAAACUCCGAAUGCCAAUUAAUUUAACUUGGGAGUCAGAACAUGGGUGAUAAGGUCCGUGUUCGAAAGGGAAACAGCCCAGACCACCAGCUAAGGUCCCAAAAUAUAUG
rnacentral:rRNA from 1 species